AAAAGAAGUUUCAAACCAUAGUCACAAUGGCAGUUCAACUCGUUGGGGCUUGCAGAAAAGGGAAGAACUACCAACCUUCAGUGGGAGAGGAAUGAAAAGGUAACAUGAAUAUAGAAAAGCAAGCACUGCCAUGAAUUGAUCCAAAAUGAAAGCAGCACCAAGAAAACAAUAGACAGGACUGCAACUAUGUAAAUGGAAAGAACAAGCACAACACAAUGGAAAAUGAAUGUUAGAAAAUUACAAAGAACAUGCUUGGCCAGAGGAAGAGAUAAUUGAAGACACCUCCUCCCACUCCCUUGCAAAGAUAAGGUCCACAGAAGACCAUGAAGAUGAUGAUAAUGAUGAUUAUGUAUUGUCUGCCCCUCCUCCACAGAACGGAAGCUCCUUGAAGGCAAAAACUGUUUAAAUUUUAUCUUUGUAUCCCAAGGACUUAGUA